UCACACUGCAAUACAAGCCUAUCCACAUGUUUUUCUCCAUAACUUCCGCUGCAUACAGUCUUGUACAUUUGUGUUAUUCUACUUUGUUAUGAUGUGAUACACUAUGCACACACGAUUACGUCAAUCACAUAGACAUUCAACAGGGAAUCUCCCACUUUUAUCAUCAGUCCAUGAUUUCCUUUCUAUUUGAUCCGUAUGUUAUAAUUCCU
rnacentral:lncRNA from 1 species